GGAGAGGGCAGCUCCGGGCCGCAGUUGGCUCCAGCAGCUCUGCUCUGUUGCAAGCGCCCAGCGCCCCGGGGCUGGCUUAGACCCGGAGACCAAAGCAACAAGAGCGAGAGGCAAAGCCCCAGCAGGGAGCCUGGCGGGCUCUGCCCGCGGCAGCCUUGCAGGGGCGUUGUUAGCACUGGCCUGUUUGCUUCACCGGCAGCACCGCGCUGGGCUGGGACCGGGACCGAGACCCCCGCGCUGGCGGAGUGUCGGGGGAGCGGGACGCUGCAGGACAGAGCCGCGGCGCGCCGGUUUCACCCCGGAAACCCCCCUCGGGGCCCCCUGACCCCCGCUCGAGCUGCUGAAAACGGGCCCCCCCCGGCCACGGCCCUUGCUGCUGCUGUUUUCUUGGGGAGACGUUUCUUCUUGGCUCUGGUUAGCUGGGAACCUUUCCUGUCUGGCAAAGAUGUCACACGUGAUGUUUUGGAUACCUUCGGAGCCUUUGUCUUCUCUUCUGCUGGAUCCAGUUUAGUCUUGGAUCCUUUGGCCUGCCUCUUCUUGUCAGACACAGUUGNCCAGACACCGUUGGCUUCACUGCUGACAGUUUGGUGGAGCUUUUUGGGGAAGCUGGCUUCUUGGCUUUUUUGGAAGAAGUUGUUGGGGUGGCUCCUGUGGAGAUGGAGGAUGUGUUGGGUGGCUUUGUUGUUGUGGGCUCAUUAAGCAGUUCAAGGACAGUCUCUGUGAAAAAUAAUUAAAAUGCUUCAGCAUUCCUGGUUGAAGGCAAAAGACUAACUCAGACAUAUCCCUGAGAAAGAGCCUAAGCAGGCAGACAAGAAACAUAUUUGCCUUUCAAAAGAGAUUAAAAAAUGUGAUGCUUGAACACUGCCUCACUUUUCUCAUUUUGAAUCCGCUUCUUCCAUUAAAUAUGAACCCUGGCUGCUUCUUGUAGGGUUGCUAAGAAUAAGUUUGUUUUCUCUUAGAAUAAAAU
rnacentral:lncRNA from 1 species